rnacentral:lncRNA from 1 species
AACAACCAUACGCAGCCACCACAUAUGUCUAUAGUCCGGAUGAUUUAUACGAUUCAACCUCAUGCCAUCAUAGCCCCAACUUAUGAACACCCAAACAUCUCAUAUCCACAACAUCCAACCAUUAUUUGACUUUAUUACACCACAUGAAUUAUUAUUUCAUUUUUAAAACGAUCCAAUGUCCCAAUUCGGGCAACCAUAUCGUCCACAAACAACCCAACCACAAUGACCCAACUACGACAACAUGGACACCAAACUCAAUUACGGCAAC